rnacentral:rRNA from 1 species
GGUGAUGUCGUUCAACAUGUAUCAAAAUGACUCUCGGCAACGGAUAUCUCGGCUCUUGCAUCGAUGAAGAACGUAGCAAAAUGCGAUACUUGGUGUGAAUUGCAGAAUCCCGUGAACCAUCGAGUCUUUGAACGCAAGUUGCGCCUGAAACCAUUAGGUUGAGGG